rnacentral:rRNA from 1 species
AACGUAGGAGACAACCGUUAUCCGGAGUUACUGGGCGUAAAGGGCGUGUAGGCGGACUGUUAAGUCUGGCGUGAAAGCUCCCGGCUAAACCGGGAGAGGUCGUUGGAUACUGGCAGACUAGAGGGUGGUAGAGGCGUGUGGAAUUCCGGGUGUAGUGGUGAAAUGCGUAGAGAUCCGGAGGAACACCAGUGGCGAAGGCGACACGCUGGGCCAUACCUGACGCUAAAGCGCGACAGCAUGGGGAGCAAACGGG